UACGUAGGGUGCAAGCGUUGUCCGGAAUUAUUGGGCGUAAAGAGCUCGUAGGCGGUCUGUCGCGUCGGCUGUGAAAAACUCGGGGGCUCAACCCCCGAGCCUGCAGUCGAUACGGGCAGACUAGAGUGCUGUAGGGGGAGACUGGAAUUCCUGGUGUAGCGGUGAAAAUGCGCAGAUAUCAGGAGGAACACCGGUGGCGAAGGCGG
rnacentral:rRNA from 1 species